rnacentral:rRNA from 13 species
UACCUGGUUGAUCCUGCCAGUAGUCAUAUGCUUGUCUCGUUGUCUCGUUGCCUGCUGUCUAAGUACAAGCCGAUUCAAGGCGAAACCGCGAAUGGCUCAUUAAAUCAGCUAUGAUUCAUUGGAUCUGUACCCACAUUUACUUGGAUAACUGUGGUAAUUCUAGAGCUAAUACAUGCCCAGAGUCUCUGACCGCAAGGAAGAGCGCUUUUAUUAGUUCAAAACCGGUCGGGCCUUCGGGUCCGUCACCCUGGUGUGUUGAAUCUGAAUAACUUUUCUCACGCACGGUCUCCGCGAGGGCCGCCUCUUUCAAGUGUUGCCUUAUCAGCUUUCGAUUGUAAGGUUACUACGCCUUCAAUGGCUAUUACGGUUACGGGUAAUCAGGGUUUUAUUCCGUUUUCCCCCCCUUGGGAACGGGUACCACAUCUAAGGAAGGCCGGAGGGACGGCAAUUACCCAACCCGGCACGGGGAGGUAGUGACCGAAAAUAACGAUGCGAGACUCAUCCGAGCCUCGCAAUCGGAAUGAGUACACUUUAAAUGGUUUAACGAGGAUCCAUUGGAGGGCAAGUCUGGUGCCAGCAGCCGCGGUAAUUCCAGCUCCAAUAGCGUAUAUUAAAGUUGUUGCGGUUAAAAAGCUCGUAGUUGGAUUUCAGUUCUGGACUGACGGUUACCGCCCGGUGAUCACUGUCACGCUCCGAACACUUUGACCAUCCGCUGGCCCACGGGGUGCCCUUUUCCCAAUUUCCCCUGGCCCGGAGAGUUUACUUUGAAAAAAUUAGAGUUCUCAAAGCAGGCUACACUGACGGCCUGAAUGCCUAUGCAUGGAAUAAUGGAAUAGGACCUCGGUUCUAUUUUGUCGGUUUUCUGAACCCGAGGUAAUGACUAAUGGAACAGGCGGGGUCAUUCUAUUGACGCUAGAGGUAAAUUCUUGGACCGUCGCAAGACGAACUACUCGAAAUCAUUUGCCAAGGAUGUUUUCAUUAAUCAAGAACGAAAGUUAGAGGUUCGAAGCGAUCAGAUACCGCCCUAGUUCUAACCAUAAACGAUUCUGACCACAUCCGCCGGAGUUAUUCCCAUGACCGGCGGGGAGCUUCCGGGAAACCAAAGUCUUUGGGUUCCGGGGGAAGUAUGGUUGCAAAGCUGAAACUUAAAGGAAUUGACGGAAGGGCACCACCAGGAGUGGCUGCGGCUUAAUUUGACUCAACACGGGGAACCUCACCAGGCCCAGACACCGGAAGGAUUGACAGAUUGAGAGCUCUUUCUUGAUUCGGUGGGUGGUGGUGCAUGGCCGUUCUUAGUUGGUGGAACGAUUUGUCUGGUUAAUUCCGAUAACGAACGAGACCCUAGCCUACUAACUAGUCGACGGAUCUCCAGCAAUUGGUGUCCAGUCGCAGCUUCUUCUUACAGGGAAACGGGCAAUUCUAGCCGCACGAGAUUGAGCAAUAACAGGCUUGUGAUGCCCUUAGAUGUUCUGGGCGCACGCGCGCUACACUGAAGGGAUCAACGUGUCCUCCCCUCCGAGAGGAGCGGGUAACCCGUGAAAUCCUUUCAUGAUAGGGAUUGGGGUUUGCAAUUGUUCUCCCAUGAACGAGGAAUUCCCAGUAAGGCGCAAGUCAUGGGAUUGCGUUGAUUACGCCUGCCCUUCGUACACACGCCCGGUCGCUACUACCGAUUGAAUGAUUUAGUGAGGCUUCGGAUUGGCGCUCUUGGAUGCCUGGCCCGCCUUCCGGUGGGCUUUUUAGGCGCCUCGAGCUGACUAAAGAUGUCCAAACUUGAUCAUUUAGAGGAAGUAAAAGUCGUAACAAGGUUUCCGUAGGUGAACCUGCGGAAGGAUCAUUA